AUGGCCAAACAAGUGUACGAGUGCAACUGGGUUCCCUCCCGUGUCACAGAAUCACAGCUGAAUGAUCUAGUCCUGAUCGGCGCUUUGGAUAACAAAGAUACGAUUCACUGGAGGGUUCCUGGAGAUGAAUGUCCUCCUACGCCCCAGGAAGGAGAGGUCGUGGUCUUCGCAGAUCACAUGGCCCGGGGCUUCAAACCGCCCGGCUCCAAAUUUUAUCGGGAUGUGUUAGCCAACUUUCAACUCCGUCCACAGGAUAUUGGCCCCAACUCCGUCACCAAUCUAUGUCACUUUCAAGUACUUUCUGAGGCAUACCUUCAAGAGGAGCCUUCAGUCGAGUUAUUUAGAGAUCUCUUUCAUCUGAACCGCCGUACUGAAUUCACUGACGGCCCUAAUACCGAACUUGGCGGUAUGGCCAUUCAGAAAAGGAAAGAAAUCACCUAUCCCCACGUCAAACUCCAUACUCACCCCAAGGAAUGGAACGCAACUUGGUUUUAUUGCAAGGAUACCUCUCCUGACAAUGAAAAUCCCUUGCCUGGCUUCCAUCCAGAAUGGCUCAGCAACACUCACCCUUUUCCACAAAGGCUAGGCACCAAGGAGAGAAUUAAAUACGCUCCUCAACUAUCCAAGCUCCGGGCCUUCAUGGCCAAUGGUUUAACAGGAAUAGACCUUGCACGCUGCUGGAUAUCAUGGAGCAUUUUGCCUCUAAGCCGGCGCCCAAAUUUGAUGUGCGAGUAUACUGAUAGUGUCGAUGACCCACUCCGACACACUAAAAUCCAGCUCCCUGAUGACGAAAUCACAGAAUCUGUGAAAAAGAUGCUGAAUGAACCGGAGCACCUCUGUGCUCAAACCGGUCUGCCUCCUUACUGCACCACCAACAAAGCGCCAGCGGGUGAUAAUCCAUUUUGGAGCAAGAAACUUCCUCAAGACAAAACGGAAAAGGCAGGACGGCCAACCCGGCCCAAGACCAAGGUUAUCAAGAAGCCAGCUCAUAAGAGAAAAACCACCGCUUCAUCUGACCCAGCCAUUGACGAUGAUGAUGACGCUGAAGCCAGCAAUGCGGGUUUUGUUGAGACCCAGCAACACGAAGCUCGCCGCACAACCUGGCACAGUGGCCAGGUCACUUCUCAUUCAUCGUCUGGUGAAUCAUCGGCCACCCAGCUACCACCUUUGAAAACAGUUGCUGGGGCUAAACCGAAACCAAGCAAGAAGGCCCGCCUGGAUAGAGCGGCUGAAGAAGAUGUGGCCCCAGAACAUGACCAAGCACCUGAUCAUGAAGUGUUUACUUGUGAAGAUAUCCCCAAUGAUCCUCCUCUGCAAGACGACGUUAUCCCUGAAGAAGGUCCUAUUCAUAUUCCAGCCUCUGCUGAUCCGCCUGCCAGCUCUGUCCAGAUUGAGAAAUCCCACACUCCUGCUGACAAACCGGCCGCACCAACCCAAACCGGCGAGUCAAAAGAUGAUGAUGUUGUGAUUACCGGUGUAGGCCGUUCUGAACCUGGGAAUCCUGCCACCCUUACCAGGCAUACCAUCAAAGAGGAUUCUUCCCCUUUGAACAAAGGAAAAUGGGGUGUUGAAUUAGAGACAUACGCCAAUCUGAAUGCUCAAGAUCUUCACUCUGGCUAUUUAAACCGGCUUUAUACUAGCCGUGACUAUGAAGCUGGCUUGGUCAAAAUGAUGAGGGAUAAAUUUGAGGCUGAAGUGAAAAUCAAGGAGGACCAGAUUGCCGAUUUGCAGGAGGCCCGAAAGACCCAGCAGGCUGAAACAGAUAAGGCAAAGCAAGAAUUGACCAGCGCUUUGAGCACUGCUGAACGGCUGAAAGAAGGCUUCAAGAAAGAGCGGGCUGACUGGGCCACUGAGAAGGCCGGUUUAACCAAAAGAGCAGAAAACGCUGAAGCGGCCCUUAAACUGGUGGUGGAUGAACUGACGGCCGUACAGCGGCAAAUACACUCUAUGACUGCUGCAAUCUUUGGCACACGUAUUGGGCACUUAGGAAAUGAUGUGGGAAGAAAUUGA
rnacentral:rRNA from 1 species